rnacentral:rRNA from 1 species
AGCUCCAAUAGCGUAUAUUAAAGUUGUUGCGGUUAAAAAGCUCGUAGUUAGAUUUCAGCAUUGGCAAGCCGUUCUGCACUUGUGCGGCAUCUGGUUAUGUCUUUGCUUCACUUGGUGUCUUCGUUGGCACUUAAUCGUGCUGCGAAGCCUCCAGGGCAUUUACUUUGAGGAAAUUAGAGUGUUUCAAGCAGGCAACUGCCUUGAAUAUAUUAGCAUGGAAUAAUAGUAUAGGGCCUUGGUCCUAUUUUGUUGGUUUCUGGGACAAGGGUAAUGAUAAAUAGGGAUAGUCGGGGGCAUUCGUACUUAACUGUCAGAGGUGGAAUUCUUGGAUUUGUUAAAGACGAACUACUGCGAAAGCAUUUGCCAAGGAUGUUUUCAUUG